rnacentral:rRNA from 1 species
CCCUUGGAUGUUCUGGGCCGCACGCGUGCUACACUGAGUAAUUCAAUGGGUAAGGGAACGCUAGAGCAUUACCUAAUCUUGAAAUUUGCUCGUGAUGGGGAUCGACGGUUGCAAUUUUCCGUCGUGAACGAGGAAUACCUUGUAGGCGCAUGUCAUCAUCAUGCGCCGAAUACGUCCCUGCCCUUUGUACACACCGCCCGUCGCUCCUACCGAUUGAGUGAUCCGGUGAGGCUCUGGGACCUGGACGGAAAGAGCGUUUCGCUUGUUCUGUUUGGGAAACUUGGUCGAACCUUAUCAUUUAGAGGAAGGAGAAGUCGUAACA